UGGUGACUAUAGCAAGGAGGUCACACCUGUUACCAUGCCGAACACAGAAGUUAAGCUCCUUAGCGUCGAUGGUAGUCGAACUUACGUUCCGCUAGAGUAGAAGGUUGCCAGGCA
rnacentral:rRNA from 1 species